rnacentral:tRNA from 1 species
GCCGGGGUGGUGGAAUGGCAGACACACUGGCUUCAGGUGCCAGCGACCGCAAGGUCAUAGGAGUUCGACUCUCCUCUCCGGCA